rnacentral:tRNA from 1 species
ACUGGUUUAGCAUAUGUUAAUGUGUAUGGUUGUAAACCAUUUGAAAAUUGUGAAAUUAAUCAGGA